UGAACGCUGGCGGUAGGCCUAACACAUGCAAGUCGAACGGCAGCACAGUAAGAGCUUGCUCUUACGGGUGGCGAGUGGCGGACGGGUGAGGAAUACAUCGGAAUCUACUUUUUCGUGGGGGAUAACGUAGGGAAACUUACGCUAAUACCGCAUACGACCUACGGGUGAAAGCAGGGGAUCUUCGGACCUUGCGCGAUUGAAUGAGCCGAUGUCGGAUUAGCUAGUUGGCGGGGUAAAGGCCCACCAAGGCGACGAUCCGUAGCUGGUCUGAGAGGAUGAUCAGCCACACUGGAACUGAGACACGGUCCAGACUCCUACGGGAGGCAGCAGUGGGGAAUAUUGGACAAUGGGCGCAGGCCUGAUCCAGCCAUACCGCGUGGGUGAAGAAGGCCUUCGGGUUGUAAAGCCCUUUUGUUGGGAAAGAAAAGCAGCAGGUUAAUACCCCGCUGUUCUGACGGUACCCAAAGAAUAAGCACCGGCUAACUUCGUG
rnacentral:rRNA from 1 species